UGAGGAAUAUUGGUCAAUGGACGGAAGUCUGAACCAGCCAAGUAGCGUGCAGGAUGACGGCCCUAUGGGUUGUAAACUGCUUUUGUAUGGGGAUAAAGUUAGGGACGUGUCCCUAUUUGCAGGUACCAUACGAAUAAGGACUGGCUAAUUCCGUGCCAGCAGCCGCGGUAAUACGGAAGGUCCAGGCGUUAUCCGGAUUUAUUGGGUUUAAAGGGAGCGUAGGCUGGAGAUUAAGUGUGUUGUGAAAUGUAGACGCUCAACGUCUGAAUUGCAGCGCAUACUGGUUUCCUUGAGUACGCACAACGUUGGCGGAAUUCGUCGUGUAGCGGUGAAAUGCUUAGAUAUGACGAACUCCGAUUGCGAAGGCAGCUUACGGGAGCGCAACUGACGCUAAAGCUCGAAGGUGCGGGUAUCGAACAGG
rnacentral:rRNA from 1 species